CUCCAGCCUUCCUAGAGCUACCCAGCAGGCCAGAGGGAGGGUGGGGAAGCCAGCCACCAUUGCUGAUGGGCGGAAGAACUGCUGACGGCUGAGAGCCCAGGCAAGUCUGGGAAAGGAAGGUGAGCUGACAGAAGAGGAAUCAAUUCUGGACCGGAGGGUGUGUCCCUGCCUUUGCCCUCCCCGCCUCCCCCCACAUCCUUCUCUGGCAAGGGGAAUGAGGAUGAGAAUGACCUCCAUCCGCAGGACGAGACAGCUUGGAUUCAUCAGAGAAAGGCCCAAGAGCUGCAUCAGUCAUUAUUAAAUAGAAAUCAAUAAGUGAAGUCACAAAAUUACGGUAGCCUAAAGGGCACACGAAAGGCCAGUGAUCAUUGCCUCCAAUUAACAUUUGUUAAUACCAGAGGAAGAAAUGCCGCAGAGGAAGCUUCCAACGGCAGGUGAUUUCUCCACCUCA
ensembl:lincRNA